GAUGAACGCUGGCGGCGUGCCUAAUACAUGCAAGUCGAGCGAACAGACGAGGAGCUUGCUCCUCUGACGUUAGCGGCGGACGGGUGAGUAACACGUGGAUAACCUACCUAUAAGACUGGGAUAACUUCGGGAAACCGGAGCUAAUACCGGAUAAUAUAUUGAACCGCAUGGUUCAAUAGUGAAAGACGGUUUUGCUGUCACUUAUAGAUGGAUCCGCGCCGCAUUAGCUAGUUGGUAAGGUAACGGCUUACCAAGGCAACGAUGCGUAGCCGACCUGAGAGGGUGAUCGGCCACACGGGAACUGAGCCACGGUCCAGACGACUACGGGAGGCCGCAGUAGGGAAUCGUACGCAAUGGGCGAAAGUUUGACGGAGCAACGCCGAGUGAGUGAUGAAGGUCUUCGGAUCAUAAAACUCUGUUAUUAGGGAAGAACAAAUGUGUAAGUAAAUAUGCACGUCUUGACGGUAACUAAUCAGAAAGCCACGGCUAACUACGUG
rnacentral:rRNA from 1 species